AAAGAAGAAGAAGAAGAAGAAAACUUUGUUUCAGCACAGAAAAGACCGGAGGCAAUUUGUAGACAAAAGGGAAAAAAGUUGAAAGCUGUCUGGGGACAGCUGGAGGGAAGGAAUCUGGAAUACAGAGGAGUUAUCUUUGGGAAAAAUGAACAAAGGGAUAUAGAGAAGCUGACAGUUCAAGAAAACUUUGAGAUGGAGAUUUUUAGAUGAAAGAAACUUAAUCUUCUUAGCUAGGCUGAAGGCUGCAGGUGUUGCGGCUGAAGGGCCUUCGAGGGGCAUCGCAGCAAGUAUCCCUCCCUGGGCACCAGACACAAAGAACCGACUGACUUUUGUGAUGAACUUUCCAAACGAGCUGUUGCUACAGCCGACAAACCGACAAGCCGGCCGAGGGACCCGACUACUUCCCCUGAGCCCGACGACAAAAUAGAUUUGUCGCAAGCAAACUACAAUCUUCCUUUGAAGACAUGGAUGACAUAGUAAAACCGAUUGCACUUGAGAGCCGAUUCCAUGACUAUUUUGCUGCAACAGCGUGAAUGUCAUCACUCUUUCUUAUGCGAAGAUUGUGUCCAGAUCCAUGAAAUCAGCCAUGGCUUUGUUCAAAAUAUAAUAUCAGGAAUACAUAUGUUGAGGAGCAAGAAUUCUCUGUCCCCUUUCAAGUCCUGGGGGGACUACGAAUCAAAUUGACAAGAGACAGGUAAAUGGGAGAAAAUCAAAUUUAAUUUUGUAUGUAGACAUACAUACAAUUUUUUUUGUAUGUAUUUUGUAUUUUGUAUGUAUUUGUAUGUAUUUUGUAUGUAGACACACAGAUAGAGACAUUCCUAGGGUAGUCAGGCAAAAUUAAGGAUGCAUGUCAUCCUGAAAUAAGGAGAAGGGAGUAAAGAUCUGGGACUUCAACAGGAAAGGAAUGCAGUUC
rnacentral:lncRNA from 1 species